GCCAGACUCCUACGGGAGGCAGCAGUCGAGAAUCAUUCACAAUGGGGGAAACCCUGAUGGUGCGACGCCGCGUGGGGGAAUGAAGGUCUUCGGAUUGUAAACCCCCGUCAUGUGGGAGCAAAUUAAAAAGAUAGUACCACAAGAGGAAGAGACGGCUAACUCCGUGCCAGCAGCCGCGGUAAUACGGAGGAUGCGAGCGUUAUCCGGAUUCAUUGGGUUUAAAGGGUGCGCAGGCGGGCCUUUAAGCCGGGGGGAAAAGCGGGGGGCCCACCCCCGCCGAGCCGUCGGAACUGGGGGCCUUGAGUGCGGCGGAGGCAUGCGGAAUGCGCGGUGUAGCGGUGAAAUGCAUAGAUAUCGCGCAGAACCCCGAUUGCGAAGGCAGCGUGCCGGGCCGCCACUGACGCUGAGGCACGAAAGCGCGGGGAUCGAACAGGAUUAGAUACCCUCGUA
rnacentral:rRNA from 1 species